UGAAAGGGAAACGAUUGAAGUCAGUCGUACCGACGAGAAAUCAACUUAUCGUGUGCGAACUUGUGGGCGUGCGUGAGUUUCGGCCUCGCUGUUUGCAUGUUUGUGCGUUUUGGGUGUACUUUUUCGUAUGGUAGGCCAACGUCAGUUUCGAUUAUCAUAAAAUGACCGGCGGAAUGUAGCUUCGAUUUCGGUUGAAGUGUUAUAGCCUCUGGUAGAUGUGGUGAUUGAGACUGAGGAUUGCAACGAAUACCCUUUGGGCUAUCCGUCUGGCCUCUGAAAGUUGCUCAGGUGCCGAA
rnacentral:rRNA from 1 species